rnacentral:lncRNA from 1 species
AAAUUUUAUUGGUAAAUUUUAUUUUUAUGGAAAUAUUAUUGUAACUCUCCCAAAUCAGAGGGGAGGAGGUGAAUGAAGACUCAGCAUACAUCGAAAGUCUCCUGGAAGAACUUGAGAGCCCCAGAACUACCAGAUAUCAAGAUCUUUUGACCUUUGGCACGGACAUGCCAAAGAGAAUGGCUUCUCAAGACUGAGAGACCAACUGCUCUUCAGAAGGAACUUUCUGGUUUCUCAAGAUUCAAGCCUUCUUGGGCCCCUCCCUCGACAAGGAAAAGAUUCAGCUUGGCACUUUUCUUAUGGAAAAACUUCGAUUUAUCAUACUUUCAAUAUUUUGAUUUCAAAGUAUAUCUUCUUCCUUCCAAAAGUCUUCAUCACCUGCAGGUACUCAUUCAGAGAGUGCUGGACCAGUAAGAUGAGUCUUAGAUUGUGGAUGGCGAUCAUAGUUCCCUUCAAGCUAUUUCUAAACAAAGGUUCCAGAUGCCUUCAUGUGGAUAUGAACCUUGGAGAGUCCUGCAGAGACUAG